rnacentral:rRNA from 1 species
AUUGAACGCUGGCGGCAGGCCUAACACAUGCAAGUCGAACGAGUGGCGGACGGGUGAGUACUGUCUGGGAAACUGCCUGAUGGAGGGGGAUACCUACUGGAACCGGUAGCUAAUACCGCAUCCCAUCGGAUGUGCCCAGAUGGGAUUAGCUAGUAGGUGGGGUAACGGCUCACCUAGGCGACGAUCCCUAGCUGGUCUGAGAGGAUGACCAGCCACACUGGAACGGAGACACGGUCCAGACUCCUACGGGAGGCAGCAGUGGGGAAUAUUGCACAAUGGGCGCAAGCCUGAUGCAGCCAGGCCGCGGGUAUGAAGAAGGCCUUCGGGGUGUAAAGUACUGUCAGCGGGGAGGCGUUACCCGCAGAAGAAGCACCGGCUAACUCCGUGCCAGCAGCCGCGAUAAUUC